ACGGAAGGCAGCAGUAAGGGAUAUUGGGCAAUGGGGGGAACCCUGACCCAGCCAUGCCGCGUGAGGGAAUGAGGCCCUACGGGUCGUGAACCUCUUUUGCCUGGGGAUAACCCCUCCCGCGCGACGGGGGGCUGCAGGUACCAGGCGAAUAAGCAUCGGCUAACUCCGUGCCAGCAGCCGCGGUAAUACGGAGGAUGCGAGCGUUAUCCGGAUUUAUUGGGUUUAAAGGGAGCGUAGGCCGUGCUUUAAGCGUGUUGUGAAAUGUAGGCGCCCAACGUCUGCACUGCAGCGCGAACUGGAGCACUUGAGUACGCAGGAAGUAGGCGGAAUUCGUCGUGUAGCGGUGAAAUGCUUAGAUAUGACGAAGAACUCCGAUUGGGAAGCCAGCUUACUGUAGCGCCACUGACGCUGAUGCUCGAAAGCGUGGGUAUCGAACAGGAUUAGAUACCCUGGUA
rnacentral:rRNA from 1 species